rnacentral:rRNA from 1 species
CUUGCUAAGACUGAUGGCGACCGGCGCACGGGUGCGUAACGCGUAUGCAACUUGCCUCACAGAGGGGGAUAACCCGUCGAAAGACGGACUAAUACCGCGUACACUUACAGGAGGGCAUCCUCCAGUAAGGAAAUGAAAUUCGCUGUGAGAUAGGCAUGCGUCCCAUUAGCUAGUUGGUGAGGUAACGGCUCACCAAGGCGACGAUGGGUAGGGGAACUGAGAGGUUGAACCCCCACACUGGUACUGAGACACGGACCAGACUCCUACGGGAGGCAGCAGUGAGGAAUAUUGGUCAAUGGGCGAGAGCCUGAACCAGCCAAGUCGCGUGAAGGAUGACUGUCUUAUGGAUUGUAAACUUCUUUUAUACGGGAAUAACAAGAGUCACGUGUGACUCCCUGCAUGUACCGUAUGAAUAAGCAUCGGCUAACUCCGUGCCAGCAGCCGCGGUAAUACGGAGGAUGCGAGCGUUAUCCGGAUUUAUUGGGUUUAAAGGGUGCGUAGGCGGCCUGUUAAGUCAGCGGUGAAAUCUAGGAGCUUAACUCCUAAAUUGCCAUUGAUACUGGCGGGCUUGAGUGUAGAUGAGGUAGGCGGAAUGCGUGGUGUAGCGGUGGAAUGCAUAGAUAUCACGCAGAACUCCGAUUGCGAAGGCAGCUUACUAAGGUACAACUGACGCUGAAGCACGAAAGCGUGGGUAUCAAACAGGAUUAGAUACCCUGGUAGUCCACGCAGUAAACGAUGAUAACUGGGCGUAUGCGAUAUACAGUAUGC